rnacentral:lncRNA from 1 species
AUGUCUUCCCUUCAGUCUCUGAGAGAGUUGAUCAGCGAGCGACUAGCUGCUGCUGCUGAAGAAAUCUGCAGACUCUGUGAAGGAACCAUCGUCCAGUACGAGCAGGAGCUCUGUCGUCAGCGCAGACUGCUGGAUAUCUGCUGGAAACCACAGCUUCAGCUCCACGAUAUAGUGUCCUGUGGGCUGGAGCUGAUGGUGCUGGAGGACCAAAGAGGAGAAAGUGUGAGGAUGCUGGAGGUUCUGGUGAUGUGGUGAGAGAUCAAAGCUGCUCACCACAUCAACAACAGUGGAGGACAGAUGCAGAACCUGAUGAUGGAGACCCUCAUCCACUCAGAUUCAACCCCAGAUACAUCCCAGGUGUCCAACCACCUCUAAAUACAGUAAACCAGGAACGCAAAAAUCCAUGUAAGAAGUGGAUUGCAUCUCCAAACUCCAUUACUGUUGUUGUUUUUAUGAAUCCUCUAAAUAAAAAUGACAUCAGAAAUCUGAUUUCUUUAUUGCAUUUCUUUAAUUUCAUCAAAACAAUGAAACAUGCUGUAAUUCAUUAAUAUUGCAAUGAAGUUAAACUUCAUCUUACAACAGAGUAGUCACGUGGUGCGUCAUUCUCCACAGGAUUAAAUAAACAUUUAAUCAUGAAGGUUCAUUAUGUAUUUGUAACACACUUAGUCAUUUUGAUAGUAGGCUAAUAUAGCUAACAUAGAUACAUACAACGUGUGUUGCCUUCAUUAUAAGGCUUAUAAAAGGCUUUUAAUUUUUUGCGGCUCCAGACAGAUUUGACUUUUGUUUUUUUGGUCCAAUAUGGCUCUUUCAACAUUUUGGUUUGCCGACCCCUGGACUAGAAGUUCAAAGUCCCAAAUUGAUUGACGUGUCCAAAGACCAAAAGAAACCUAGCACUGAAACGCCUGCACCAGCUUGUUUCGGUUUUGGUAGAACCGCGUAAAUUGUAACAGUUCCUAUUUGGAACCAAACUUUGGUGCCCAACCAUAGCUGUCACCAAGGGACAGAGCCGACUUGUUUUUCUGUGUAGCAUUGCCGUGAGGUACUCAACAGGUGUCUCGCGAGCUACCGGUUGGAGACCCCUGAUUUAGACACUAAGAUGCAGUUCUGGAAACAGCCAGCAGGUGUCUCCCUUCUCCCUCCUGCUUCAAUGCAGUUUGUGUUGUUGCAGCAGCUGCAUCAAAGUCAUUCUCUGUCAUUCCUCACUAACAUCCACUCUGUUCAUUCAUGUCCUCUGCAGAAAACAGGAUUGAUGCUCAGAAAGUUUCUACUAGUUUUAGUUGAUGUUGGUGGAGGUCAAAGGUCAGACAGAGCAGUUUUCUGCUCUAGAAACUAAGAAGAGGAAGAUUUCAAUGCUGAAGAAGUCCAACAAACAGCUGCAGGAAGUGCAGCAGACUGACAGCUGAUGGAACUGAAGGUGUUUCUAAAUUCUACAGAUUCUAAAGCAUCAAUCAGAGGUUUGAAGUCUUCCUCAGUACUCGAGUACUUUAGUUCAGCAGCUCCACUGACUUAGAGAUUCUUCUUAUUUUCUUCUCUUUUCAGUCAGAAAAAGUCUUUCUUUGGCUCCAUACAGUCUGAUCAGCUCUGAUUUGGGCUUCAGUUGAUGUUUGUGAUUAUGAACUCUGGAUUCUUCUCAGAAGGAGACGUUCUUCCUCUUUAGCAGAGAGCAGAACGUUGAUCUGAUCUGCUGGAACUGACUCCAUCCUGAAGCUUCACUGCUGAGUUGCUGUCAGAAAGCUGUCCAGCAGGGGGCAGCACUCCUUCAUCUUCUGUCCAGCAGGGGGCAGCACUCCUUCAUUCCUGCAUCUUCUGCAGAAUCAAACACAUCCUGUUGCUGAGGAACAAAGACGUCCUUCAGGAAUGUGGUUCUGCUGCAGAGAAAAAGUCCCUGAGAUCAUCUGGAAGAUCCACAUUCUUUCAGUCAUAGCUGCUCUCAGGAUCAGCUUUGGUUCAGAAUCUUCCUACAAACAGUCUGAAUGUUGAUGUUAAGGAUCUGCUUCUAUCAGCAGUAAAAGGUCACAGGUCAGAGCAGAGCUUUCAGUGACAACGUGACAAAAAUUCAUGGAGAAAUCAGGAAUGUUCCAUCAAAUCCGAACAAUGUUGGUGUUUGCAGAUAAAUUCAGUUUGAACUAAAAGGAAGAUUUCUGAUGACAGUCUGACAGAAACAGUUCUGCUUUCAUCAGAAGACUACCAUGACUAUGAAACCAUCAGAGCUCCUGAAACAAACUUCAACAUAUCAACUGUUUUGUAAUAAGCUGCAAAUUUAUCUGUCAGCAAAGAAUGCAGACGAUGAGGAAGAGCGACAAGAACAAAAGUCUCUGUGGAGAUGUCAGGAACAGGAAAUCUCAUUUGAUCUUCUCUCAUUUCUGUUUUUCUCAGUUUUUGUCUCUUCUGGAUUUUUUCAGAAUUUCCUGCAUUAAUGAAUACGUCAAACCAAAGUGUUUUUCUGCUCCCUCACACAUUUCUUCAUCUCUGAGUUUUUUCCUGCUAUAUCCGACAGAUCUGGAAGAGCCACAGCCACAUUCUUAAAUCUCUUCUUCAAACUGCUUGUUCUGACAUAUUCACUGUCAGACUUCAAUCUGAUCCUUUCUUUGUUUUUGCUGGGGGGGAGUGUGUAAAACAUUAAAACAUGGCAGUGAUAAUAGUAUAAAUCAGACAAUAUUCCAAAUUAAUU